rnacentral:rRNA from 1 species
GGGAAGUGGGGGCAGCUUACCAUGCAGUCGAACGGCAGCACGGGUGCUUGCACCUGGUGGCGAGUGGCGAACGGGUGAGUAAUACAUCGGAACAUGUCCUGUAGUGGGGGAUAGCCCGGCGAAAGCCGGAUUAAUACCGCAUACGAUCUACGGAUGAAAGCGGGGGACCUUCGGGCCUCGCGCUAUAGGGUUGGCCGAUGGCUGAUUAGCUAGUUGGUGGGGUAAAGGCCUACCAAGGCGACGAUCAGUAGCUGGUCUGAGAGGACGACCAGCCACACUGGGACUGAGACACGGCCCAGACUCCUACGGGAGGCAGCAGUGGGGAAUUUUGGACAAUGGGCGAAAGCCUGAUCCAGCAAUGCCGCGUGUGUGAAGAAGGCCUUCGGGUUGUAAAGCACUUUUGUCCGGAAAGAAAUCCUUGGCUCUAAUACAGUCGGGGGAUGACGGUACCGGAAGAAUAAGCACCGGCUAACUACGUGCCAGCAGCCGCGGUAAUACGUAGGGUGCGAGCGUUAAUCGGAAUUACUGGGCGUAAAGCGUGCGCAGGCGGUUUGCUAAGACCGAUGUGAAAUCCCCGGGCUCAACCUGGGAACUGCAUUGGUGACUGGCAGGCUAGAGUAUGGCAGAGGGGGGUAGAAUUCCACGUGUAGCAGUGAAAUGCGUAGAGAUGUGGAGGAAUACCGAUGGCGAAGGGCAGCCCCCUGGGCCAAUACUGACGCUCAUGCACGAAAGCGUGGGGGAGCAAACAGGAUUAAUACCCUGGUAGUCCACGCCCUAAACAUGUCAACUAGUUGUU